UUGUCGGAGGUGGCUGUAAACUUAACACAUUUUCUAAACGCCCAUUGUCCUGCUUUUGUUUUGCGAUCAAAAGUGCGACGCAACAAGCUCGCUAAAGAAAAAGAAAGACACGUUAUAGAGAUUUUUGUUUUGGACCUUUUAUCUCACUUACCCAUUUGUGCAGCUGCACCUUAGGGAGAACUGCACGAGUAUAUUUUUAGUUUUUAUGUGAUGACGGCCGUUCCCAGAAGCGUUUCUUCACUAGAGCAGAUGUACAAGUUAGUAUGAAUACAGCUACUGAAACACAUAAAAAUGGUACACAAACCGUCGACGAUGACUGCUGACCGCUUUCGUCGCUGGAUUUGCCGCAAGUGAAACAGUUGUGUGACGCCUACAAGAUUGCAGAACUGCAUCGUCCUGGCCUUGUAUCGCUUAUCGGACACCUACGCGGUUCCCUUGGCGCCUUCCCUACCACAAGAGGGAACCAGAGCAGCACGGCCGGCUUAAAAAAGGGGCGGAUUGACGACCAGGCCCUCAAGACCUACGAAUAGCUUCGGUUAACGGUACUCUUGCUGGUCAAGAAGCCGUAUCUGUCCUAAACACUCACCUUCUUCAAUGCUGCAGCAACAUUUCUGCCGCAGACCCAGAAGAAAUAGGUCAUGCUUUUGUGAAACCGACUGUACAAAAUUCUUUUAUAUUAUUUCCGGCGACACCAAGCGAAGUAGAAAGCGUGAUAGAUAAUUUUAAGUCAAACAGUGCUGCAGGUUUCGACGGUAUCAUCGCAUCUCCAAUAAAAUAUGUGCCUGACAUAACCUCUAAAGUCUUAGCUCAUAUUAUUAAUAAAAUGUAUGAUUCCGGAAUUUUUCCUAGCAAACUUAAUAUAGCCAGAGUUUGCCCGGUUCAUAAAUGUGGCGCUGACCAUAGUAUAAAAAGCCUAAAAAUUUCCUGCCUAAUCAAUACUACCGCUUUUUUACAAACUUUUUGAAACUGUUCUAAACGCUCAACUAGAGGGUUGGUUAAGGAAAUGUUAUAUUAUUAGUACGGCACAGCAUAGAUUUAAAAAAAAUAAAUUUUGUGGUGAUGCGGCUGAAAUAUAAAACAUCAAAUACUGCAAAAUAUGGAAAACCGUUUAUACACAGUUUGCUUAUUUCUGGACCUGCGUAAGGCGUUUGACAGUGUAAAUCAUGUUAUACUUCUGUGCAAACUUUAUGACUUACGGUAUACGUGACACAGCAUCAUAUUUAAUGAGAACUUACUUAAUGGAUCGUUACCAGUUUGUUUCAUAUAAUCAGGCGACUUCCUCACUUCUCAAAAUACAGACUGGCGUGCCACAGGAAUUCAUACUUGGUCCUGUGUUAUUUCACCUUUAUAUUAAUUACCUUCCUAACAUUUCUUCCUCCCCUAAUAUCAUCAUGCACGCAGAUGAUAUUAAUAUUCUCCUUGCAAGUUCUUCCCUGCAAUGUUUACAAAUGGAAAUAAUUGAUUCCUUGAACUUAUUAUCUGGAUGGCUGUACACAAGCAAAUUAAAAUUGAAUGUCAAUAAAACCAGUAUAUAAUUUUUAAACCG